rnacentral:lncRNA from 7 species
ACUCAGGGAAGCACAAAAUGGCGCCAAGCAGCAAGGUGUGAGGGGAGAGGAGGUGCUCCAGGCAUGGGGAGCUGUAGCCUGUCAGAAGGGCCCAAAGCAUGGGGAGGAAACAGGCAGAGGGAAGCUGUUGUUUUCACUGAUUCUCACUAGCAAGCAUAUUUUCACUGCCCACAUAUUAUUAAGCCUUUUACCCAAGUCUAUUUUGCUGGUAAUGGUGCUUGGAAUUGAGUCUAGUGAAGUGCAGUUCUCAAUCCGAUGAAGAAAUCGUUUCUGAAGUUUGGAAGCUAAUCCUUUCCAAAGGCGGUGAACUCCUGUGGGGAGAUAAAAGCAUGCUAGGUCCUGAGGGAGAAGAACAGAAGGAUAGAAAAAGCAUCAUUUUUGAGUGUAGUCUUUGCACAUCACACAAGAGUUUUUUCAGGGCUUUAUUGAGAAGACGAUGUCUGAAGUCACUGUGAAUGGGUGAACACAGAGUUCCUAUGGUUUAUGCAGGCCUAAACUGCUGCAGGACUGUCAACUAGGAAUUUAAGGAAGAUUUGCACAUCCCUACUUAUGCACCUGAAUAAGUUAAGUAUAACGCAGAACGUAGGCAGCCUAUUUCUGAAAGAGUUGAUCCUUACGUGUAAGAAAGAGCUCUGGGAUUAAUGUUGCUCAAUGUUUUCCAGUCUACAGGACAAGGUUUUCCAGUUCUCAGAGUCCAGCAAAACUGCUGACUUAGUUGGCUGACACAUUUCCAGCAUCAGGUGGUGGAAAAAGAGGUCAUAGCAGAAGCAGUUACUGUAAAGACAAGCCAGGGAAAUGUUUCCGUCCCCCAGUCAUUUAUCUGUUCCUUAAGCCUAAUCAUUAAAUGCUGUCACGAAUC